rnacentral:rRNA from 1 species
AUGGCUUCUUAUGACCAACAAUUCAAGGUUCUCGAGGUACCUCCGAUCGUGCAGGAGCCACCGAGCCAGUACGUGCUUCCUGAGCAAGACCGUCCCGCCGAGAUGCCCGAGCCCAUCCCCAUCAUCGACCUCAGCCGGUUGUCUGCCGGCAGCGCUGAAGAGUUGGACAAGCUGCGGUCCGCCUUGGAGAUCCUGGCUGUUGGACAUGUACAUGGAAUGGAGCCUAGCUUUCUUGCCCAAGCGAUGAAGGUUACGAGAGAGUUCUUCAACCUCCCGUUGGAAGAGAAACACAAGUACUCAAACAUUGUCGACGGCGAGAAGCUAGGUAUGGAUGGAUACGGUAACGACAUGGUCGUGAAAGAGAAUCAGGUCCUUGACUGGAACGACCGGCUCAAUCUCCUCGUGGAAGUGGAACCCGAGUCCCUAAGAACCUACAGACUGUGGCCAACACAACCCCCUUCUUUCAGAGACAUCCUGUCUGAGUACACGGUCAGGUGCAAAGCCGCGGCCAACCUUGUCUUUCGAAACAUGGCCAAGAUACUCAAUUUACAAGAAGAGGAACACCUGGUAAACAUGAUCGGCGACAACUCCAUCACCCAAGCUAUAUUCAACUACUACCCUCAGUGUCCAAAGCCGGACCACGUGUUGGGCCUCAAGGCCCAUACCGACGGCUCCAUAAUCACAGUCAACUUCGCCGAUGCUCAUGCUGAGGGCCUCCAGCUUCUGAAAAACGGCGUGUGGUACAACGUGCCCAUUGUUCCAAAUGCAUUGGUUAUGAACAUAGGAGAUAUAAUGGAGAUUUUGAGCAAUGGGUUUUUCAAGAGCCUGGUUCAUAGGGUUGUGACCAAUGCAGAGAAAGAGCGCUUGUCGUUGGUCCUGGUCUAUUCAUUGGAUCUAGAGACAGAGCUUGAGCCGGUGUCAGAGAUGGUGGAUGACAAGAGACCUGCACGAUACAUGAAGAUCAAGCUCAACGACUACAUGGAAAAAUAUCAUGACACUUAUGCCACAGGGACACUAGCCAUAGAGGGCGUGAAGAUCUGA